GGGCGUCACUCCGCGAUAACACACUAAAACGCUCAAAAACGAGCUCGAAAAGCAUCAACGCUACUCAUCGUGCCGAGUUUUCACAUAACGCCACCUUAAAGCAAGUUAUCGCAAGUUAACGCGCGUUAAAGCGAGUUAAAGCGACCAGCUCCUGCUCGACUUUUGAACCAGGAAAAUCUAUCUUGCAACCUUGCCGUCGAGCAGUUUUUGGUUAUGUUUGGCAACUCGGUAUUUGUUUUUGUUUUUUCAAGCAGUUUUGACAGAAAGCAAUAUUUGUGAUUAUUUUUAUCAACGGACGGAAAAGUUUCGCCGGUGUGAUCGCCGGCUCCACCUUCCACAGAGCAAGGCGCACGUUUUGACGACCGCACCGGACCGGACCGGAUUCCAGGUGUGAUGGGCGUGAUCGGCGGCUGCACCACAAAGAAAAAGAACUUUGGCGGAGAAUCCUGACUCAAACUCAAGGAGGAGGAAAGUUUUCUGGCUCAUAAUCGAGGCGCUUGGCUGUAGAUAAGCCUAGACUGGGUUAAUUACAGUAACUAUCUCCAGCUCUUGCCCUGAUUGUGACCGUCUCCCAGCCAAUCGUGAAACGUUUGCCAAGCAAUUGACAAGUUGCGCAAGUGCACGGGAGUGAACGCAAUACUCAGGCAGCACCAAAUAUCACGAAGGCAAUGAAGCACCGGUCGCGAGGACCCCGAAGGAUCAACGUGGAGGAAGUGGACUUGCCGGAAGACGAUUGACACAUCCUGCUGGGCAUUGUUAUUUUAGUGCGGCUCACCGGUGAAACGUACGCCCAGUGCGACCCAACCGUGUCCGUAUUUGUCGGGUGUCGGUCCGGAUUCCAGGCGUCGUCUCUCAUGCUCGAAAAGUAAGCCGGAGGUCGCAGUACGGAAGCAGAAAGUUGCGGUUAAGGAGGAAGCGGAACUUGGCACCUGGUGGUGUCGGUGCACGAUGGUAUCACAGACAAACAGACGGGACACUCGAGUUCGGAACCAUCGUCCUUCAAUAACCGAGCCAAAACGGUUAUUUCAAAUGCAAUUUAGCUUCGGCAUCCACUCACCCGGCGUUGAUGGCGCUGCUGUCGUGACAGCUCGCCCGUCUUUCCUCAGUGUGUGUAAUGUGUUUUUGUUGUUGUAAAGUUGAGCGUGAGCACGUGGCAGCAAAUGAAAACAAAACAAAAUAUGAUAGAAUUCAGGAAUUCUAACGGUGAUCCACAAUCGCGGCUGACUAGCGAGGACAUACCCUUUGCCCCACUAUUAACCCGGUAGGCCUGCCGCUGCCGAGGCUGCUGAUGAGGCGUCCGCUACUGCGGAGGAAGCCAGAUUCUGUGGUGAAGUCAUCUCCUUCGGAGCAACCUUGGAGCAACCUGCUUAUCCUUCAUGGAUUGCUGCUCAGAUUGCUGCUGCUGGUCGUCCUUUUGGCGAUGUUGCGUCGAUCGUGAGCGCCACUCAAUCUUCAUCUACAGUUGUUCUGUUUCGAUGUACCUAAGAGUUUGCGGCAGCGUUUUUUGGAAUCUUUGCGACUUUUUUCAUCUCAUUCGCCACUUUUUGCUGUUUAACGCAACUUAACUGCGCCGUGGACACGUUUCCCGCGGAUGUUUCGAAACGAAACGCGGAUGUUUUUGGGAGCAACGGGGAGGACCAGUGGUUUGGUCUCUGUCGUUGCGGUUGUGGUGCGUCGUUGCUGAUGCUGCCGCAUGGUUUGGCCGUCAUCUUCGGCCGUCGGUGUUAAUUUUUAUUUUUAUUUCAUCGAGUACUGACGAUAAGCAACAACAACAUUAUUUAAAUCAGCUGUUGAUGUUUACAAUCGAUAAGGCUUGAUUGUCUCACGCAUACACUGACAUGACACAUGACAGUAAUGGGUUUGUAUUGGUAUGUUUGGGCUGCGCUUCGGCAUAAGCUCACCAGGCAGCGCUGGCGUCGCCGUGAUUUGGUGGUUUGAUGAAGGACGAUGAAUUUCAAAAAAUAUUUGUAUGGAGAGUCACGUCUGUUUGUCUGUGAUGGUAUCUUCAAUUUGGAGCACGAUUUGGAGAUUCAACGCCAGCUGUGUGGAAUUCCACCGCAGGAUUGCAAAGAGCGGAUUAUAAAGGACGCCGCGGCAGGUUCAGUAAAUAAAAAACAAUCUGGAAUAAAUCGAGUUGUAUAAAGUAAAAUUCACUUUCAAUUCAA